ensembl:lincRNA
AGGAGUUAACCUGGAUAAUAAAGUGAUGUAAGGCUUAAUAAACCUUGUUUCUGGCCAAAUCCCAGGGAGAAUGAAUUUCAUGUGACUCAGCUCUAUGGAAUCAAUAAUAACUGACUCCUGUUUGGCACUAGUUGAAUAUGAGGUGCAGACAAGUACUCGUUCAGGCCCAAGAAAUCUUCCAGUCAUGCCGUUGACUCUUUAUUGUGGAUAUUACAAAUGUUUUGACACAUCUUCAGGGUCAGUUUACAAAGAAAACGGAUUCUGCAUCCUCCUCAAAGGUAACUUUGAAGUCAAUGAGGCAAAUGGAUGA